rnacentral:rRNA from 1 species
CUACCUUCUACAAGUGGAUAGCCCAGAGAAAUUUGGAUUAAUACUCUAUACGAUCAUUAACUGGCAUCAGUCAAUGGAGAAAACUCCGGUGGUAGAAGAUGGGCAUGCGUCUAAUUAGUUAGUUGGUAAGGUAAUGGCUCUCCAAGACUUCUAUAGGUAGGGGUCCUGAGAGGGAGAUCCCCCUCACUGGGACUGAGACACGGACCAGACUCCUACGGGAGGCAGCAGUGAGGAAUAUUGGACAAUGGAGGCAUCUCUGAUCCAUCCAUGCCGCGUGCAGGAUGACGGCCCUACGGGUUGU